AUCCCGGGCCUUGGGCGGUUUCGCACGACCACGCGGGGCUGGGAGGUCGCGUAGAACUCUGGGAGUUGUAGUCUUAGGGUUGUAAUGCGCUAUCUCGCGCACUGCACAUCGGGAGUUGUAGUUCUAGAUUGAGGAACGGGAAGUGCUUCCAAGGGUCCAUUUUGAGCCCUGGAAACUACAAUGACCAAAGGGCCACGGGUUCCUGGGCCGUUUCUCAUUUCCGUCGAGUUAAACGUCUGGGGCUGCUUCUGAGGAAUCUGCUUGACUGGCCAGCAAGUUCAGCUCCGGCAAGUCAUUUGAUUCACCCGGGGAUGAAAUGGGGGUCAACCAGUCUGUGGGUUUUCCACCUGUCACAGGACCCCACCUCGUAGGCUGUGGAGAUGUGAUGGAGGGUCAGAGUCUCCAGGGGAGCUUCUUUCGACUCUUCUACCCCUGCCAAAAGGCAGAGGAGACCAUGGAGCAGCCCCUGUGGAUUCCCCGCUAUGAGUACUGCACUGGCCUGGCCGAGUACCUGCAGUUUAAUAAGCGCUGGGGGGGCUUGCUGUUCAACCUGGCUGUGGGAUCUUGUCGCCUGCCUGUUAGCUGGAAUGGCCCUUUUAAGACAAAGGACUCUGGAUACCCCUUGAUCAUCUUCUCCCAUGGCCUAGGAGCCUUCAGGACUUUGUAUUCAGCCUUCUGCAUGGAGCUGGCCUCACGUGGCUUUGUGGUUGCUGUGCCAGAGCACAGGGACCGGUCAGCGGCAACCACCUAUUUCUGCAAGCAGGCCCCAGAAGAGAACCGGCCCACCAAUGAAUUCCUGGAGGAGGAAUGGAUCCCUUUCCGUCGAGUUGAGGAAGGGGAGAAGGAAUUUCAUGUUCGGAAUCCGCAGGUGCAUCAGCGGGUAAGCGAGUGUUUACGGGUGUUGAAGAUCCUGCAAGAGGUCACUGCUGGGCAGACUGUCUUCAACAUCUUGCCUGGUGGCUUGGAUCUGAUGACUUUGAAGGGCAACAUUGACAUGAGCCGUGUGGCUGUGAUGGGACAUUCAUUUGGAGGGGCCACAGCUAUUCUGGCUUUGGCCAAGGAGACCCAAUUUCGGUGUGCGGUGGCUCUGGAUGCUUGGAUGUUUCCUCUGGAACGUGACUUUUACCCCAAGGCCCGAGGACCUGUGUUCUUUAUCAAUACUGAGAAAUUCCAGACAAUGGAGAGUGUCAAUUUGAUGAAGAAGAUAUGUGCCCAGCAUGAACAGUCUAGGAUCAUAACCGUUCUUGGUUCUGUUCAUCGGAGUCAAACUGACUUUGCUUUUGUGACUGGCAACUUGAUUGGUAAAUUCUUCUCCACUGAAACCCGUGGGAGCCUGGACCCCUAUGAAGGGCAGGAGGUUAUGGUACGGGCCAUGUUGGCCUUCCUGCAGAAGCACCUCGACCUGAAAGAAGACUAUAAUCAAUGGAACAACCUUAUUGAAGGCAUUGGACCAUCGCUCACCCCAGGGGCCCCCCACCAUCUGUCCAGCCUGUAGGCACAACUGGCCAUUUGUAAAGUCACUUCAGCCAAGUUUUCAUUUGGGAGCUACCCAAGGGCACCCAUGAGUUCCUAUCAGGAAGUGAUCAACGUGACUCCUUGUCACAGAUUGAAAGGUGUAAUCACACUGCUGCUUGGAUAACUGGGUACUUUGAUCUAUCUUAGAUUUGGUCUUAAAAUCACUUUGGGACUGGGAUCCCUUGCUGAUUGACAAACAGACUUUCUGGGGCCUUCAUGGAGUGGGGAACAAGCAGUAGAGUGGGACUGGGGGAGACCCAGGCCCCGGGCUGAGCACUGUGAGGCCUGGAUGUGAAGACUCAGCCCAGCGAGCUCAUUCCCUCACCCCCGGCCAGUGCUGCUGCUUCAGUGGAAGAGAUGAAGCCAAAGGAUAGAGUGAAAAUCCCUACUCCAGAGACUCUAGCCCAGCCCAACACCAUCUCUUCCUACUUCUCAGCCUUCUCCCUCCCCAGGGCCACUUGUUGAAGUCUGAGCACUUUAUGUAAAUUUCUAGGUAUGAGCCAUGAUCACAUUUUCUAUUUAUUUCCAAGUCUUCUCAUUGUAUGGAACAUACUACUACUUAUACUUACAGUAGUAAGUUAUACUUGUGAGCCCACAGAGUGGCAGACAGCAUGGCUCUCACAGCACAGGGAGAAAAACUGAGGUACAAAGAGGUACCUCAGAAGCUCUGGUUGUCUUUGGGGGUUUUGCUAAGUGUAUCUUGAUAGGAAACAACACAAGCAGGUUGAGAUGGGAAAGAUGACAGAACAACAGUGUUAAAUGGCCAUUUGCACAGGCCUUUGCCACAACAGAGAAGUAGUUUGGUCAGUUAAAACUCAGCUGCAGCCUGGACAGUAGAGCGAGACCCCAUCUUAAAAAUAAAGAAGGCUGGGCGUGGUGGCUCAUGCCUAUAAUCCCAGCACUUUGGGAGGCCAAGGCAGGCAGAUCACUUAAGGCCAGGAGUUCGAGACCACCUGGCCAAUAUGGUGAAACCCCGUCUCUACUAAAAAUACAAAAAAUUAGGCCGGGCGCGGUGGCUCACGCUUGUAAUCCCAGCACUUUGGGAGGCCGAGGCGGGCGGAUCACGAGGUCAGGAGAUCGAGACCACGGUGAAACCCCGUCUCUACUAAAAAUACAAAAAAUUAGCCAGGCGUGGUGGCGGGCGCCUGUAGUCCCAGCUACACGGAGAGGCUGAGGCAGGAGAAUGGCGUGAACCCGGGAGGCGGAGCUUGCAGUGAGCCGAGAUUGCGCCACUGCACUCCAGCCUGGGCGACAGAGCAAGACUCCGUCUCAAAAAAAAAAAAAAAAAAAAAAAAUACAAAAAAUUAGCCUGGCGUGAUGGCAGGUGCCUGUAAUCCCAGCUACUCAUGAGGCUGAAGCAGAAGAAUCACUUGAACCCAGGAGGCAGAGGUUGCAGUGAGUCAAGAUCAUGCCACUGCACUCCAGCCUGGACGACAGAGCAAGACUCUGUCACAAAAAACAAAAAAAAGAAAGAAAGAAAGAAAAAGAAAAAUUUAAAAUAAAUAAAAUCUAAAAACCCAGAAGGCCACUCCCAGAGAGGCCUAGGAGUACCUUGGUCACUUUUCUUGCCUCAAAUAUUAUAAACCUCCAACUUGCUCAGAAUCAGGAUGCUUUUAUUGUCUGUUUUCUGGCUCUGAGGCCCUCGCCCCAAAUUUAAGUCAGAUACAGACUGAAUUUCCAUUCUGUUCCAUUUAUAAUGUGAAUGAUAUUAAUACUCUUGUUUGCUUAAUGUUAUGUUGGAAUUUUCUGUUUAAUCUGCAGUAGAGCAAGAUGGAGAGCCAUCUGGAAUUGACUUCCUUCUGUCUUUCUUCUGUGUUCGCUUACUACUUGGGCCCAUGUGGGAAAAAAACUUUAAAAGGAAGGAAGUCUUCUUAGGGAUCCAGUUCAAAGCUAUUUGGGGGCAUCAAACUGAAACUCUCCUCUCCACUACUCAAGACUUCAUGCCUCAGUCCAAGUAGGAUCCAGGCUGGUAGAGCUGCCAUUAUCAGGAAGUGUUGCUGUUCAACAUGGUGGAGCAGGAAGAAAGCCUGAUGAAUCACCUGCUAGCUCUGAGAGCUUCUGCCCGGGAGUGACUCUCGUUAUUUCUGUUCAUGUGUCAUAAGCCAAAGCACAUCCUGUGGCCAUUCCUAACAUCCCAUGCCAUCCCAAGAGAGCCAAAAUAUUUGUGACCAGGUCUCAUGUCAGAGAAGUGGUGCCUUCUGAUCUAGGAAGGUGCAGAAAGCUGUUUGACUUGCAUGGGGUUGCCCCCUGUGCUGCAUUGCUGUUCAGAGUUGGUGUUGUCUCAUUUGUGGUCAGGCUGCAAUCAUCACUCUUCAACGCACCAGCCCCUAGCAGCCCUCCCUGGCCACUUCAAGUUUAUGACUUUCCAUGUGCAGUGGACUGAUAAAUCAGCCACAUUAUUUAAAACUCUGUCUAAGGGAAAACAAGGCAGUCAGUGAGCGAGGGUUUUAGGGACUCUCUUGCAGCUAAAGUAUGUCACCUUUAGCGCAUGGGCUUUGUAAUCCUCUGACUGCACCAGAAGGGGUAUCACGAGGCCUUUGGUCCCUCGUUCUGGUUUUUGGUUAGCUUCUAGGGGACUGAAGGACACUUCAUAAAUGGCCUUUAGAUAAGCAAGGAAAUCCUGAUGGUAACUGACAUGUGCUGAUAAAUCGCAUCCUAGUGAAUCUUUUCCAGAAAGAGGAUGUCUUGGGUUUCUUUUUUUUUUGUAUUUUUUAGUAGAGACGGGGUUUCACCAUGUUAGCCAGGAUGGUCUCGAUCUCCUGACCUCGUGAUCCACCCGCCUCGGCCUCCCAAAGUGCUGGGAUUACAGGCGUGAGCCACCGCGCCCGGCCUGUCUUGGAUUUCUUUGGCAUCUUCUCGUUCCCCAUCCCACUGCAGGACUCUGUGCCUAUGGAGGCCUCCUAGUGCUAUAAUAUGAAGUUUCUGUGCAUGGGAUGGUAAGCCAGUUAGGAAGGAAGGUAAGUAAAUAUCCCUUGCACUUCCUGAACUUGUCAGACUAAGGCUGCUUGGAUUCUUGCUGUGUCCCUAACGCAAUCCCUGAGCCCCUUUCCACUGUGCUUUCUGACACAGCUCCCCCUCUUGUCCUUCCUCAGAAAUUCUAUUGGGCUCUUGAAAUGUGAAAUGAUGGAUUCCAACUCCCUGUCUUGACCUUGUGGGGACCUUCAUCUACCCCACUUUUUUCUGGAGCACCACUUAUCCCUAGGCUCACAAAGUGACAGAGCAACAGGAGAGGCCAUACUGUAUGUUUGGGACUCAUCCUCAUUAGGAAGCUCACUUUCUAUCCCAUCAUAGCCAGGUGCAGAGGGCAGCUGUCCCUGGCCAUAGCUGCAGGGCACAGUGACAAUGAAGGUGCUGAGGAUGAUUAUCACUGUGUGUCAGGACCGUGCUCUGGGCUGACAUGCAUCAUUUCACUUACUUCUCACGGUAACCCCACCAGCUCAGGUGGCAUUGGCCUCAUUUUAUGUAGGAGGAAACAGAGGCUUUAGGAAGUGAUUUCAUCAGGCUCUCAGCAAGAAUUUGGCAAAGCUGGGACGUAGGCAUCAAAGUUUGAGGGUUUUUUUUGUUGUUGUUGUUGUUGUUGUUGUUGUUUUUUUUUUUUGAGACGGAGUUUUGCUCUUGUUGCCCAGGCUGGAGUGCAAUGACAUGAUCUUGGCUCACUGCAACCUCUGCCUUCUGGGUUCAAGCAAUUCUCCUGCCUCAGCCUCCCAGAGUUGCUGGGAUUAUAGGCAUGUGCCACCACGCCCAGCUAAUUUUUGUAUUUUUAGUAGAGACGGGGUUUCACCAUGUUGGUUAGGCUGGUCUCGAACUCCUGACCUCAGGGGAUCCACCCGCCUCAGCCUCCCAAAGUGCUGGGAUUACAGGCACGAGCCACCUUGCCCAGCCAAGGGUUUUUGUUUUGUUUUGUUUUCUUGAGAUGGUCUCCUGUCACCCAGGCUGGAGUGCAGUGGCGCGAUCACAGCUCACUGCAGCCUCGACCUCCCAGCCUUAAUCCAUCUGCCUGCCUCAGCCUCCUGAGUAGCUGGGACCGCAAGCGCACACCACCAUGCCCGGCUAAUAAAAUCUGAGCUCUUAAUUACUGUGCUAUCAACCCUAAUAUACAUACUUGGCUUUGUAGUUUCUCCCAUUUCUUCAAACUCUCAGGAUGUAGGGAAUGUAUUAAUCUCAUGAUCAAUUAGCUAAAAAAUAUCAAAAUCUUCAGCAACUUCUACAUGACCUGUGUUGAGUUUCAGUGAUAUCCUCAGCGUUAUUGAGAAAUGGGUUGGGGGAGAAAAACGGCUUCAACAGAAACUGGGUCAGGUACUUGGUUGAUGGGUUGGGGGUGGGGGUUUUUUUGUUUUUUGUUUGUUUUUGAGACAGUGUCACUCUGUUGCCCAGGCUGGAGUGCAGUGGCAUGAUCACUGCUCAUUGUACCCUCAACCUCCCAGACUUAAGCAAUCCUCCUACCUCGGCCUUCCAAGUAGCUGGGACUACAGGUACAUACCACCACACCUGGCUAAUUUUUUGUUUAUUUUUUGUAAAGACAGGGGUCUGUCUGUGUUGCCAGGGCUGGUCUCAAACUCCUGGGCUCCAAUGAUCCUCCUGCCUCAGCCUCCCAAAGGGCUGGGGUUACAGGUGUGAGCAGUUCAGGGACUAAGAACACAGUCUUUGAAAUCAGACAGCUCCAACACUAUUAGCCCUGUGACUUUAUGCAAACUCACUUCUAUGGCCUUUAACGUUCUUAUUUGUAAAAUGGGGAUUCUAAUAGUAUUUAACUCAUAAGGUGGUUGUGAUAAUUAAAUGAAAUAAUGCAUGUAAAGCACUUAGCAUGGUGGCUAGAUUAAGGACUUAAUAAACAUUAGCUAUUACCA